UACAGAGGGUGCAAGCGUUGUUCGGAAUCAUUGGGCGUAAAGCGCACGUAGGCGGCUUUGCAAGUCAGGUGUGAAAGCCUGGGGCUCAACCCCAGAAGUGCAUUUGAAACUGCAGAGCUUGAGUCUUGGAGAGGGCAGUGGAAUUCCAAGUGUAGAGGUGAAAUUCGUAGAUAUCAGGAGGAACACCAAUAGCGAAGGCAGCUCGCUGGGACGUUACUGACACUGAGGCGCGAAAGCGUGGGGAGCGAACAGG
rnacentral:rRNA from 1 species